rnacentral:rRNA from 1 species
GAUGAACGCUGGCGGCGUGCUUAACACAUGCAAGUCGAACGGAAAGGCCCAAGCUUGCUUGGGUACUCGAGUGGCGAACGGGUGAGUAACACGUGGGUGAUCUGCCCUGCACUUCGGGAUAAGCCUGGGAAACUGGGUCUAAUACCGGAUAGGACCACUUCUUGGAUGUUGUGGUGGAAAGUUUUUUCGGUGUGGGAUGAGCUCGCGGCCUAUCAGCUUGUUGGUGGGGUAAUGGCCUACCAAGGCGUCGACGGGUAGCCGGCCUGAGAGGGUGUACGGCCACAUUGGGACUGAGAUACGGCCCAGACGCCUACGGGAGGCAGCAGGGGGGAAUAUUGCACAAUGGGCGCAAGCCUGAUGCAGCGACGCCGCGUGGGGGAGGACGGCCUUCGGGUUGUAAACUCCUUUCGCUAGGGACGAAGCGUUUUGUGACGGUACCUGGAGAAGAAGCACCGGCUAACUACGUG